UACAGAGGGUGCAAGCGUUGUUCGGAAUUAUUGGGCGUAAAGCGCGUGUAGGCGGCUUGGCAAGUCGGGUGUGAAAUCCCUCAGCUUAACUGAGGAAGUGCGCCCGAAACUGCUUGGCUUGAGUACCGGAGAGGGUGGCGGAAUUCCCGAAGUAGAGGUGAAAUUCGUAGAUAUCGGGAGGAACACCGGUGGCGAAGGCGGCCACCUGGACGGAUACUGACGCUGAGACGCGAAAGCGUGGGUAGCAAACAGG
rnacentral:rRNA from 1 species